rnacentral:tRNA from 1 species
AAUGGUGUAACUCAGUGGUAGAGUUCGUGCUUAGCAUGCAUGAAGUCCUGGGUUCAAUCCCCAGUACCUCCA